UAAGGAAAAAUAAUUUUAAAAAUUUUUUUGACAGGCAAAUAUGCGAGCGACAAGAAUACAAGUAUUUAAUAAUAAAGUCGCGCAUCCAAGAACAGUGGAGAUAUUUUUACAAUCAAAUAACGUGACUGGCCGUUUUCAUAUAGAAUCAAACGAUGAUCGAGUGUUUGAAAACGCUUAUAAUAUGAUUGAGCACUUGCGAAAAUAUUAAAUAAAUUGCGCGUUCCAAUCGUCGACUGGUGAACGCACCGUUAGCGAGUCAUUCUGCGUAAAUCGCUUACAAUAACAGAAACUGGUUCAAAGUGGAGAAGACCUGAGACGGACCGAUGUUUAUUAACCGCAAGCACCGUGCAUAAUAAAAGUCAUUUUUCCCAUGGGGGAGCGAGGAGGCAAGGAGUAUACUCGCAAUUUCACAGACCGAUGAUCCGCGAGGGACACGUCGCGAUGCCAUAGGCAAAUCACGACGCCGCAUAGCAUGGGAUUCGUUCCACUUGCCCUCGACCAUUUCUCACGGCAUUAAAUCGCGAACUGUCAAGGAGAAUGAAACGUUCGGCUACGCGUUUUGCCGAAAAAGAUUGCUGGCUCGCUUACGCAAUUGUUUUGUCAUUACUUAAUUGCGUAGUUCGUUACCGGAUUACAGUUCGUUGUACUGGCAAUUUUGUACUCGUUAUGUUAUUAAAAAGUUAAGACAUUGGGAUGAGUGAUGUGAUGUCACGUCGGGUCAGGGAAUAUCAAUUUUGAAUAAUUAUCUGUACUGCUAAUUUUCAGACGAAGAUGUGGUUAGUUCACGUUUUUCAUGAUAAACGCAUCAAAUUAUUGUCAUUAUUACGCUGCUAAAAUGUGAAAUUAUCUUUUAGCCUCUCACAAUCAACUGUUUAAAAAAAUCUUUGCUCCUUCACCUCUUUUUCUUCUUUUUCAGCUUAUGAGCCUUUCUCGAGGGGAACCCGAAAGCCGGAAAUCGUCGCAGUCUCAUAUUCCGGUAAGGUCAAUGUAAAUUUCUGAAGGGCUCCGAAGAUAGGGGUCAGUUAUGUGUGCACCCGUCGUACACACUCAUACGCAUCGCAUCCGUUCCCCCAUCGUGCAUGAAAGCAGACACCUGUUCGUGGUUCAGUUUCGCGGUAGACGUUUCUGUUGGUCGCCGCGGUCCCCCCUUCUUGACAAUGGGGAGCCGACUUCCCCAGUGCCGUUCAGGCCGCUUUACUCGACGGCUCAGUUUUGUAGUAAAGAGUUCCACAGCCCUACAGCACGGUCGUAAUCGUAGCCGAGUUCGAUGCGAGAUAGAUCCAGGUCGAUCAGGAUAGUGCACCGAGUGUGAAAUGCAGUGUAUUAAAAGUAGAGUGGAAUGAUAAAUCAGUGAAAAUAAGUGAAGCCUUAUUUCUCAAGAUAGAUCAAGUUUUAGAACAAUUUUUUCAAAGAAAACAUUUGGAAAAUCCACAGAAGACAAGACAAAAAUUUUCCAAUUGUAAAAAAGCGUAAAUAAACUUUUGGAAAUUAAUGUUACUCGUCGAAAACAAUGAAGAGAUUGAAAAACAAAUUGUGAAUAAGAUUUCAAAUAAGGUUUUGUGAAUUUGUUUUAAAAAGAUAACAGAACUGUCGAGUUUUUAUUGAAGAAAUUCAGUGCAACAGUUAUUCAAUACACUUGUGAUAUAAAAUCUGGAGGUUCCAUGCUUAUAUUCGUUAUGAACGUAAAGAGAAGUGAGUUAGAAGAGUGACUGGCCGCGCGGAUCGAUAAAGACUAUCGAGGGUGCAAUUUAAGCCCUUUGUGUUUUUUGUUAUAAGGGACGGAGACUAAUCGAAUGUGUGGCGGAUCAACAGAAGAUUAAUAAUAUCGCAAUUUGCGUUAUUGAUGAAAAGUUGGAACUGUGAGAGGAAUAUUUCACGAACGAUGAAGUUAUAGAUACAUGGACGACGUGCUUUUUCCGAACGUAUUUUGUGAUAUAUCAGUCGACAGAAUUGACGGACGAUGAUCUUGAAUUGCCAUGGGACGAAACAUAUUGAGCAUCUUGCUGCUCCUCUGCUGCAUGCUGCAAUCACUCGUCGGACAACUGACUCGAGACAAACGAUGCUUUCUGGAGAACGAAGCAACCGCAGUUGAUCUCUUUGUCAGGGAGGAUCUGUCUGUCGGCGACACUGUGGGGGUCCUCGGGGUAUUAGGUGAUCCUAGUUCGCUAGGUGACAUCCAACUGAGCUUGCAGGAAAACGAUAGUCCUGUUACUCUCUUGUCGUACUCAAAGAACUUGACGCUCGUCAGAAAGCUUGACAAGGAGGGCAUCGAGGGACCAGCCAGUGUCUACAUCAAUGUCAUCUGCGAGAGAAAGCAUACCUUAGAUCCGGUAUUCAUCAUACCAGUGAACAUUCGAGUGCUCGAUACGAAUGACAAUUCGCCGCAAUUCUUGAAUGCGCCUUAUCUACUGAAUAUUUCCGAAGUUACCGAAGUCGGUACGAGAGUUUUGCAAGGAGUCCGAGCUGUCGAUGCUGAUCAAUCAGGGCUAAAUUCGAAUGUGCAGUAUUCAGUUCUUCCAGGAUCUUAUUCGGACUACUUUUUUUUCUUGAGCCCUUUGGAAGGCACUCUUGUGCUAAGAAAACGGCUGGACUAUGAAACUCUUACUAACUUCUCCAUUGGUAUUCGUGCACAAGACCAAGGUGAACCACCCCGAUCGUCGACAACAACGUUAUACAUCAAUGUUAUCGAUGCCGACGAUCAGAAUCCAGUUUUUUUGACUGAACAAUACAAAGUCACUGUACCGCGUCACGUGAAAGGAAGAAAAGCGCUGAAAGUAUGGCCUGCUGCAAUCAAAGCCGUAGAUCAGGAUGUUGGCAUUAACUCGCGAAUCAAAUAUACAAUUCAAGGCGCGAUUUUAACUUUUCUGGAUUUGAAUCCUGAGACUGCUGAAAUCGUUAUGAUACGAUCGCUGCAGGAUCAGGAGCUAAUAACGCCCGCAACUAUCAUCAUUAAGGCUACCCAAGUAGAUAAUCCGGACAAAUCUACUCUCGCUUCAAUCAUUGUUUCGCGAGAAGAUAGUUAUAGCGUUGGUCCAACAGCAGGUGGUCGAUUACCCGUGAAAUUCGUGCUAAAGAAUUAUCAGAAGAGCGUGCCGGAGGAUGAAAAGAAAGGAAGCGUUCUUUUAAGGGCGGAAGUCAACAAAGUUGAUCCUAAUUUAAGAUACUGGCUGUCGGGCGCAAGGGUGGACCUACAGAAUUUCACCAUCACUAAUUCUGGGGAUUUGAUCCUGAAUGGCAGUCUAGAUUACGAGCUACAAGAUCAGCAUUACUUCCAAGUUCAUGUUACCGACGGUUACAAUAAUGAUACGUCACACGUGAACAUUUCGGUAGAAAAUGUGAACGAGUGGGGACCGCGAUUCCGGUAUUCCGAAUACAUAUUACACGCUCAUUCAGCGAGAGAAGGCUCUAUUAUUGGAAGGCUGGAAGUAGCUGAUGGCGACAAAGGCGACAAAGUCCGUAUAUCUCUCAUAGGACAAGAUUCCAGGUACUUUGAAGUUAGAGAUAAUGGAGAUUUAGUGCUAAGAUCACUAGGUACAUUUAAUAGAUCUAAGGCUCAAUUUAUGGCGAUAGCUUCCGACUCCGGAUAUCCAGUACAAAGCUCGAAUGAGAUUCCGGUAACCGUCCACAUACCGAGUUCAUUGCCGAUCGCUGCGAGAGCUGCACCCGCUUGGCUAGGCAGCAGUGUGUUAUUAGUUGCUAUCUUUGGUGCAGUUUUGGGUCUUCUUGGAGUCGUUAUACUUAUUCUCAUUCUUUACAUUUAUAAACACAAAAGGCCCAAAAGCGGUAGUUCAGUCAGCUCUGUAGGAACAGGAUAUCGUGAAAAAUCACCGGUUCCAUCGGCUCUGAGCCCGACGCCGCAGGUGCUAGGUGCCAGUAUUAUCCACGAUACCUUGGAGAGUCCGCGAGAUCGACAUCACAAUAGCGACGAAAAUGAUAAUGCUGGAAACCGUAAUGAUAUCGAUAAUCCCGUCUUCGGAGAAACUAAUGAGAGCUCGUAUGGCGCUACGAUUAAAAGUAUAGCGUCUGCAAGACAAUUACCAUUAUACGCCAGACAUAAAGUGGCGCCCGCGCCGAAUCCGCCGGCUUUAUCAGCCACCUCAAACAUCCCCAACAUUGGUGGACUAGUGCAGAAUAUGAACGAUUUGAGUGCUAGAACCAAUUUGGAUGCUGCAUCUCACGAUUCUUCCAAUUAUUCGGGAGAUCCUCCCGACUCUCUGGUACCAGCGUGGCCUGCUAGUUCAGUCCUGCCAAGAAUUAAAAAACUAUCUUGGGACGACGACGACAGGACUGUGGACAGCGUCGAGGUCGCGGCAGAAACGCGAACCGGAGAUAAUCAAGUCGGCAACGAAAGGCUUAAUCUCACCGUGUACUUCUAACAAUCGAUUAUUUUGUAAAGGGCGCACAUUCCAAUCUCAAUGGCGGAUGAUAGCCGUGGGGAGAAAGUGACCCAGAGAGGUCUAGGCUGCGACUCCGGCAUCGUCCUCGAAUCUUUUCUUCUCAGUCGUCCGUGACAUA
rnacentral:misc_RNA from 1 species